rnacentral:lncRNA from 1 species
UUAACCAAAAUUUGAAGCUUACCGCGCGGAAUCAACAAAGUACUACCCCAAAGCUUAAUUGUAGACAUUGGAAACGUUACUUAACUACUUUUUGGGCAAAUGAUUCUCUUCAUUUUUAAUGUUGAACCACCCCAUGCCUGCAAUUGAUACAAAAUCAACUUGAAACAUUUUUAUUUCUUGUGUUUCUAAUAUUUUUUGAAAUAAUCCCACUAUCACAAAC